CCUACGGGAGGCUGCAGUGAGGAAUAUUGGUCAAUGGGCGCGAGCCUGAACCAGCCAAGUCGCGUGAGGGAUGACGGCCCUACGGGUUGUAAACCUCUUUUGUCGGGGAGCAACGGGCGCCACGUGUGGCGCCACUGAGAGUACCCGGAGAAAAAGCAUCGGCUAACUCCGUGCCAGCAGCCGCGGUCAUACGGAGGAUGCGAGCGUUAUCCGGAUUUAUUGGGUUUAAAGGGUGCGUAGGCGGAUCGUUAAGUCAGUGGUCAAAUUGAGGGGCUCAACCCCUUUCCGCCAUUGAAACUGGCAGUCUUGAGUGGAAGAGAGGUAGGCGGAAUGAGUGGUGUAGCGGUGAAAUGCAUAGAUAUCACGCAGAACCCCGAUUGCGAAGGCAGCAUGCCGGCUUCCGACUGACGCUGAAGCACGAAAGCGUGGGGAGCGAACAGGAUUAGAUACCCUUGUAGUC
rnacentral:rRNA from 1 species